rnacentral:rRNA from 1 species
GACGAACGCUGGCGGCGUGCUUAACACAUGCAAGUCGAACGGAAAGGCCCUGCUUUUGUGGGGUGCUCGAGUGGCGAACGGGUGAGUAACACGUGAGUAACCUGCCCUUGACUUUGGGAUAACUUCAGGAAACUGGAGCUAAUACUGGAUAGGAGCUCCUGCUGCAUGGUGGGGGUUGGAAAGUUUCGGCGGUUGGGGAUGGACUCGCGGCUUAUCAGCUUGUUGGUGGGGUAGUGGCUUACCAAGGCUUUGACGGGUAGCCGGCCUGAGAGGGUGACCGGCCACAUUGGGACUGAGAUACGGCCCAGACUCCUACGGGAGGCAGCAGUGGGGAAUAUUGCACAAUGGGCGGAAGCCUGAUGCAGCAACGCCGCGUGCGGGAUGACGGCCUUCGGGUUGUAAACCGCUUUCGCCUGUGACGAAGCGUGAGUGACGGUAAUGGGUAAAGAAGCACCGGCUAACUACGUG